rnacentral:sRNA from 1 species
GAGGAGACAGAACCUCUCAUUCAUCCCUGACUUAAUCAUGGGGGAGUUAACAGUUUGUUUUUGAAUAAUGGAACAAAGGCAAGAACUGUGCAUAUGAAGAUUUGAUGUCAGUCAGUCUCAAAUCACCAAAACCAGGAGAAAUUAUUUAUGUUGCUGCUUUGCAGAAUUCAAUCAUUUUGGAAGUCCAAGAGAUGCCCCCCCCCAAAUAAACUAUGGCCAAUGUCCUUGGUUACCUAUCAGAACCUGAAGGAUCAAAACUAUGCAUUGCUAAGAACAGAAACUGUUUAAUGAGGAAACAACACGAAAAAUUGAUGAUAUUGGCAGCUUUGUACAAGUUGGAGACCUGAUAUGAAACAAAUGUUGAAGUGGAACGUCUUGGGGAGGAGGCUCUUGGUCAUUACAAAGUGGCUGGCAGCAGAUGUUCUGAGAAUCCCCAAGCCUCCUCUGACCCUCCUACUUUCCUGGCACUGGAACAUGGAACUCACAGCUGAUAGCAUCAUGAAGACAGAAGACAUUUUAGGAAGGGGCCAAGGACAAAAUAAUUUUCUACAAGCAUGCCCACAAGUGACCCAUUUCCUUCAGGUGAGGGUGUGGAAGCCAGAGGACAACGUGAUGGGGUAGGUUUCUCUCCUUCCACCACGUAGGUCCCUUGUCUGAUACCCCGGUCCUCCAGCUUGGCACCAGAGAGGUUACUGAUCUCCCAGGAGAAAGACUUGCCAUUUCUCUCUGGUAAUUUGGGCUCAAAGG